rnacentral:rRNA from 1 species
CAGUGCCGCGGGAAUACGAAGGGGGCUAGCGUUGUUCGGAAUUACUGGGCGUAAAGCGCACGUAGGCGGAUAUUUAAGUCAGGGGUGAAAUCCCAGAGCUCAACUCUGGAACUGCCUUUGAUACUGGGUAUCUUGAGUAUGGAAGAGGUGAGUGGAAUUCCGAGUGUAGAGGUGAAAUUCGUAGAUAUUCGGAGGAACACCAGUGGCGAAGGCGGCUCACUGGUCCAUUACUGACGCUGAGGUGCGAAAGCGUGGGGAGCAAACAGGAUUAGAUACCCCAGUAGUCCCUGUCUCUUAUACA